UACGUAGGGCGCAAGCGUUGUCCGGAAUUAUUGGGCGUAAAGAGCUCGUAGGUGGCGUGUCGCGUCUGCCGUGAAAGCCCAUGGCUUAACUGUGGGUCUGCGGUGGAUACGGGCAGGCUGGAGGCUGGUAGGGGCAAGCGGAAUUCCUGGUGUAGCGGUGAAAUGCGCAGAUAUCAGGAGGAACACCGGUGGCGAAGGCGGCUUGCUGGGCCUGGCCUGACGCUGAGGCGCGAAAGCGUGGGGAGCAAUCCGG
rnacentral:rRNA from 1 species